AGCGAACGCUGGCGGCAGGCUUAACACAUGCAAGUCGAGCGGGCGUAGCAAUACGUCAGCGGCAGACGGGUGAGUAACGCGUGGGAACGUACCUUUUGGUUCGGAACAACACAGGGAAACUUGUGCUAAUACCGGAUAAGCCCUUACGGGGAAAGAUUUAUCGCCGAAAGAUCGGCCCGCGUCUGAUUAGCUAGUUGGUGAGGUAACGGCUCACCAAGGCGACGAUCAGUAGCUGGUCUGAGAGGAUGAUCAGCCACAUUGGGACUGAGACACGGCCCAAACUCCUACGGGAGGCAGCAGUGGGGAAUAUUGGACAAUGGGGGCAACCCUGAUCCAGCCAUGCCGCGUGAGUGAUGAAGGCCCUAGGGUUGUAAAGCUCUUUUGUGCGGGAAGAUAAUGACGGUACCGCAAGAAUAAGCCCCGGCUAACUUCGUGCCAGCAGCCGCGGUAAGGCACGACUGU
rnacentral:rRNA from 1 species